UGGAGAUCAUCAGCCUCAUCAGGGUGUGGAAACAAAGGAGAUGCAGAUCCGUCAACCACUGCUGGAGGAUUAACGCUACCGGUUUCAUCAAGGAGAUUUCCUAGUUGGAGUGAUCCCUCUGUUUCCUCCUACCGAGUCUCUUUCCUGCAAGGAACCUGCCUGCCUGCUCCGCCCAUUCCCAGUCAUCAUUAGACUCUAUCUGGACCUUCGGCCCACUUAUCCCCACCAAAACUCCACACGGGAUCCAGGACAACCUUCCCCCUACGGUUCACCUGAACCGCCUUACAAGUAAGCCGCUUCUAUUUGCUUAAGGAGCACUCACCCCAGACCA